rnacentral:lncRNA from 1 species
UUCACUAUUCCGUAGAGGCCGUGGCUGCCACAUCAUCAGUUUCAAGGUGUUCACAGUUCCUUGGUGACGGAAUUAAACGGUGCCUUCCUACCGGGAUGGAGAAAUAACGUUAGAAGAAAUGUGGGGCAGCUUGAGGAAGGAGCAAGGAGGGUGGUACUUAAACACGGAAUAACAGGCCAACAGUGUAACCCGUCCAGUUGUACCAGAACAUCUCAAGAGGAAUGGGGACUUGGCAGUCUCCUACUCUCAAAGGACACCUACAGCAACUCCUGCCAAAGUUCCCUUCCCAUCUCAGUGUCUUGAAUAGCCUGAUAUAGCUGUGAUUCCUAAAAGGGAUGUAACAGGGAAAUGAGGAUGGAGCAGUGACAUGAACUGCUGCCUGGAUUUCUCCACGUCCUCUUGUCGGCAACAAAUGGCAAAUAAAGGAUCCUGAGGAACAUGGAAGCCACCUUGCUUGUAGCAGUGUGCUGUCCCGCAGACUCUGCAUUAAACAAUUGAAGACAAAAAGAGCUCACACCUCAGGCUCUUCCACUGAGGUGUGUGAUCUUAUUUCCUUUUCAUGGCAGCCCUUGGAAGUAAACACUACCAGGCUGUGGUAUUCCGGAUAUGGAAGCUAGUACAUAGCUGAAAUGAUUUCCCCCAAGUCAGAACAAAAAAAAAAAAAAAAAAGAGUCAUCUUUCAGCAAUGCCGAGAUGCAAGAUGAAAGAGCAGCAUUGGCCAAGUCUCCUUGUCUGCACUGACAGGACAAUAAUGUCAACGGGGAACUUAAAUCCUCCCAGAUUACCACUUUGAAUCAUCUCUAAUCCUCACUUAUGUUCAAAAUGGAAUUAUGUUUAAGCAUAUACAUAUGCAGAUGGAUGGACACACAUGCCAACACACCUGUAUGUCAUGACAUCAUCCAACCUUUAUCAGAGAAACUUCUUGGAAUAGAUGUUAAUUAACACAGAGAUACAAUGUGAAGACAUCGAAAGACAUUGGAACACUCAGCCCUAUCUCUCCUCAAGGCCUAGGGAUUUAUAUGGAAGAGGAAAGAGGAGGAAGAAAGAGUGUAAGAACUAGAUGUGGUGGAUGACUCCAAGGAAACAGUAUCUUCCAGACACAGUGGGGCUGAUAUACACAUGAACUCACAGAGACCAGCACAAAUUCAAGCCAGACAAGCCCAGACCUUGAAGGCUUCAGCUUCCAGCCUCCAUCUGCUAAGCUAAGCCUAGAAUAUUUCAGCCUCCAAGACUUACUGUUGAAUAAAUUCAUUAUUUCUAUCUCUUUCUGAACUCUGGCUGGCUGGUUCAACUCAACUGUUCUGGCUCAAAUGCCUCUCCAAGUUGACUGAUUCAAAUUGACUUCUCAUGGUUCUGACUGGAUUGCUCUGCUUGGAAAGACUGUCUUUGAACUCUAUGCACUAAACUGCUUCAAACUACACUGAACUGAGCUCAACUGAACUGAGCUCAACUCACUUCAAUUGAAUUCUCUUUCCCUCACUGUUCUUUAAGUAGUCUCUAUUUUCUGUCUGUUCUCUUGAGAGUUGGACAUAUACUCUCUGAUUCACUCUGUCAAAUCUUUCUCUGUCUGCCCUCAAUUACACAGAAUUGUUUGGGAUUAAAGGUGUGUACUAAAGGU